CUUGCCUUGGUUUAAUUCUCUGGAAUGUCAAUGGUCUUUAUUUAUAUUUGCAGCAUUGCUGCUGCUUUCAAAAGCAAGCAAAAUCAACAACAUUAAACAUGUCUCUUAAGGAAACUCUUUCACUAACCGGCAAAGCUGUUACGGACGAUCAGGUCUCGGCAAAACGCAGGAGGUCUGAUCGAUGGUUUUCAUUCAAGGAGAUAUCGAUAGAACCAGGAAAAUCACUAAAAGACCUGGAUUCAAACAAGUUCAAGAUUGAUAUCAAGAGAUGGGCCAGGGCUGUUGUGGCAUAUGCCCGCCAAGUAAGUAGCAGGUUUGGAAGCACGAGAAAAAGUAGCCGGAUUGGAAGCUCUCGUGAUUCAUCACAGGACUCCAUAUAGUUGAAGAUUUGAAGAACUGGGCCCAUCUCGAGGAAGGAAAACUGAAAAAAUUGAUGUCAAGCUACGAGAAUGUGUUCAAGCAAGACAGGAUCAACCUCGAGCGAGAUCAGAGUUUGGUCCAUCAGCUCGAAACGGAGGCGCAACUUGUGUGCAAAGUCAAUAUCUUGGAGAUGGGGUUCAUGUAUACAACACUAAUCGUUCUGAUUGUCUUUUCAUUCCAUUUAUAAUUAAUACGAUCUGUUGAUGAUAUGAAGCAAGUGGAUUUUGUUUUUUAUUUCUUCGUUCUUUCUUCCAUUAAUAAGACGACAUUGAAGAUGUUGGG